GAUCAUGGCUCAGGAUGAACGCUAGCGACAGGCUUAACACAUGCAAGUCGGGGGGCAGCAUGAACUUAGCUUGCUAAGUUUGAUGGCGACCGGCGCACGGGUGAGUAACGCGUAUGCAACUUACCUAUCAGAGGAGAAUAGCUCAUCGAAAGAUGAAUUAAUGCUCCAUAAAACAGUGGUCCCGCAUGGGAAUAUUUGUUAAAGAUUCAUCGCUG
rnacentral:rRNA from 1 species